rnacentral:rRNA from 1 species
CGAACGCUGGCGGCGUGCUUAACACAUGCAAGUCGAACGCGAAAGGGACUUCGGUCCUGAGUAAAGUGGCGCACGGGUGAGUAACGCGUAGAUAACCUGUCUUCAUGUCUGGAAUAAUACGCCGAAAGGGGUACUAAUACCGGAUAUUCUUGCUUUUCAUAAGUUAUGCAAGCAAAGGUGGCCUCUGCAUAUGCUACUGCAUGAAGAGGGGUCUGCGUACCAUUAGCUAGUAGGUGGGGUAAUGGCCUACCUAGGCGACGAUGGUUAGCGGGUCUGAGAGGAUGAUCCGCCACACUGGCACUGGAACACGGGCCAGACUCCUACGGGAGGCAGCAGUGAGGAAUAUUGCGCAAUGGGGGAAACCCUGACGCAGCGACGCCGCGUGAGUGAAGGAAGGCCUUCGGGUCGUAAAGCUCUGUCAAGAGGAAAGAAGUGUACAAUGGCUAAUACCUGUUGUAUUUGACGGUACCUCUAAAGGAAGCACCGGCUAACUCCGUGCCAGCAGCGGC